AUGCGUCAAGUACAAGAGCUUCUCGACAAAGGAGGCAUUAAUAAUAUUACUAUUCGUUAUCGUCAUCCUAUUCCUAGGCUAGAUGAUAUGCUUGAUGAAUUGAGUGGCUCUACAAUAUUCUCCAAAGUUGAUUUACAUAGUGGAUACCAUCAAAUUCGUAUGAAAUUGGGAGAUGAAUGGAAAACCGCAUUCAAAACUAAGUUUGGAUUAUAUGAGUGGUUAGUCAUGCCUUUUGGGUUAACUAAUGCACCUAGUACUUUCAUGAGAUUAAUGAACGAAGUUUUACGUGCUUUCAUUGGACGAUUUGUGGUAGUUUACUUUGAUGACAUAUUGAUUUAUAGCAGAUCUUUGGAAGAACAUUUGGAACAUUUACGUGCUGUUUUUAUUGCUCUACGUGAUGCACGUUUGUUUGGUAACCUUGGGAAGUGCACCUUUUGCACCGACCGAGUAUCUUUUCUUGGCUAUGUUGUUACUCCACAGGGAAUUGAAGUUGAUAAAGCCAAGAUUGAAGCUAUUGAGAGUUGGCCGCAACCCAAAACGGUCACACAAGUGAGGAGUUUUCUUGGCCUCACUGGAUUCUAUAGGCGUUUUGUGAGAGAUUUUAGCACCAUUGCUGCACCUCUCAAUAAGCUUACAAAGAAAGAUGUGCCUUUUCUUUGGGGUACCGCACAGGAAGAAGCCUUCUCGGUAUUGAAAGAUAAGUUGACACAUGCUCCUUUACUCCAACUUCCUGAUUUUAAUAAGACUUUUGAGCUUGAAUGUGAUGCUAGUGGAAUUGGAUUAGGCGGUGUGUUAUUACAAGAUGGCAAACCUGUUGCAUACUUUUCUGAAAAAUUGAGUGGGCCUAGUCUAAAUUAUUCUACUUAUGAUAAAGAAUUAUAUGCUCUUGUUCGGACUUUAGAAACAUGGCAACAUUAUUUAUGGCCCAAAGAAUUUGUUAUACAUUCUGAUCAUGAAUCUUUGAAACAUAUUAAAAGUCAAGCUAAACUGAAUCGUAGACAUGCUAAAUGGGUUGAAUUCAUUGAGACUUUUCCUUAUGUCAUUAAACACAAGAAGGGAAAAGAAAAUGUUAUUGCUGAUGCAUUGUCUCGCCGCUAUACUAUGCUUUCACAACUUGACUUCAAAAUAUUUGGUUUGGAGACCAUAAAAGAUCAAUAUGUGCAUGAUGCUGAUUUUAAAGAUGUAAUGCAGAAUUGUAAAGAAGGAAGAAUGUGGAACAAGUUCGUCGUUAACGAUGGAUUUGUGUUUCGUGCUAACAAGCUAUGCAUUCCAGCUAGCUCCGUUCGUCUUUUGUUGUUGCAGGAGGCGCAUGGAGGAGGAUUAAUGGGACACUUUGGCGUGAAGAAGACGGAGGACGUACUUGCUACACAUUUCUUUUGGCCAAAGAUGAGACGGGAUGUUGAGCGUUUUAUUGCUCGCUGCACUACAUAA
rnacentral:rRNA from 1 species